GAUGAACGCUAGCUACAGGCUUAACACAUGCAAGUCGAGGGGUAACGAGAGGAAAGCUUGCUUUCCUUGUCGACGACCGGCGCACGGGUGAGUAACGCGUAUCCAACCUGCCCCCAACUAAGGAAUAACCUUGCGAAAGUAAGACUAGUACCUUAUAAUUUCCUCAGAUGUCAUCUGACGAGGAAUAAAGAUUUAUCGGUUGUGGAUGGGGAUGCGUCUGAUUAGCUUGUGGGCGGGGUAACGGCCCACCAAGGCAACGAUCAGUAGGGGUUCUGAGAGGAAGGUCCCCCACAUUGGAACUGAGACACGGUCCAAACUCCUACGGGAGGCAGCAGUGAGGAAUAUUGGUCAAUGGGCGGAAGCCUGAACCAGCCAAGUAGCGUGCAGGAUGACGGCCCUAUGGGUUGUAAACUGCUUUUAUACAGGAAUAAAGUUAGCCACGUGUGGUUAUUUGUAGGUACUGUAUGAAUAAGGACCGGCUAAUUCCGUGCCAGCAGCCGCAGUAA
rnacentral:rRNA from 1 species